CUGAUCAAGGAGUAAAUAGAGAUAGGAUGGAAGGUUUACAUGAAUUUGAAAGUAGGUCUGCAGAACAGGGUUGCUCCCUCUCUACAAUAAGCUAUAUUGGGUUUAUGCUCAUUUCUGUCAACACUGUCGUCAACCUCAUUGCUAACAUCAACGACAACAAUAAUAACAACAACAAUAACAACAACAACAACAAUAAUAACAACGAUAAUAAUAAUAACAACAACAACGGAGGACGAGGUUUCUCCGAAUCUGUUCUGAACCAGAUGGUUGAAGAGGAUCCGUUCUCCGACCAGGUUCUAGCUCAUCUACUCCACACGAACAUACAAAGACCAAGACCAAUCUUGCUAUAAAACAUCAUCAUUGUAGCAAGGUAUUCUUUGCCAGACAAAGAAGUUAGGAAGGAAGUGCUUCUACUGCUCUGCUAUCCUGGAUCAAAUCCGUCCUGGAGAUACGUCCUAGUUGUGCUCUAUCUCUUUCAGCUCAUACAGCUCAUAGACUGCUCCCUGGAAAUAAUAUCAUACAAGAUCUAAAAGAAACCCU